CCGACGGUGUAAAUUGAAGGAUCAGUAAACCUCUAUCUAGGGCAACGCCUCUCGCAUCCUAUAAAUUUGCUCUCAAGCCGUUCCCUUCGACACCUACUCCUCUCUCUUCCCUUUUGUGUUUUGUGGAAUUAUCCUUCUUCCAGUCCUCCAUUCUUGUUUAUUUCUUAUUUAUGGUGUUGUUACUGUCGUAGUUGCGAUGGAUGUCUUAGGGGACGAAGUGAGAUCAGAUGAUGCGAAAAACUGCAACAAAAUGAUAGAUUCAUUUCUUGAUUACAUUGAUGGAUGCAAAUUCGGGAGAUAUGAUGAGAAAAAUUUUGGUCCGUGUUUCUGAUUUAACCGUGACCGAUAAACCCCAAUAGCACACUCUGAUCUCUUUCAUUCUUUAAAUUCUUUUUUUAAUCUAUUUUUCAUAACCCCGUAGAUCUUUCUUUUUUGGCUCAAUGAUUGUAUGCCCAGUUUUCUGGGAAAUUUAUACGCUAUACUGAGCUCUACAUGUGCUGAAUAUAAGAUCAUUUAUGAGAGCUGUUACUCGAAAAUACAGUUUUACUUAUGGUUGAAGCUUAUAAAUCAGUUGGGAGUUUAGAAUUUCCUUGAUUAUUUGGGCCUGUUUGUUUAAGAAGAAAAAUCUUUUGUUUGGAUUUCCUUUCUAUGUAUUUGCUGUGAUGAAUCAUGAAACCAUUCACAUGUCAGACUUCAGAGAUUUUUCCUCUUUCAUAGGGGGAAAGAUCUAUGAGAUUAUAUUCAUGUUUCUGAGCAUGAUAUGUUAGAUGAUUUUUCUUGCCAAGAAGCAUCUAACUUGUUUUUGUAAUUGUAGUGGUUGAAUAUAAAAAUGGAAAAAUCUUUACUCCCAAGUUUGAAGAACUGAUUGAUUUUGAAGCCAGGGACGUGAGCUUUAGAAGUUUUACGUUUGGUUUUGAUCUUCAUUACUUGUAAAACUUAAGCAAAUAAGCCAACACGAUUUAAAUGUUAAAUGCAAUCUACGAUUUGAUU